rnacentral:rRNA from 1 species
GAUGGCGACCGGCGCACGGGUGAGUGACACGUAUCCAACCUGCCGAUGACUCGGGGAUAGCCUUUCGAAAGAAAGAUUAAUACCCGAUGGCAUAGUUCUUCCGCAUGGUGGAACUAUUAAAGAAUUUCGGUCAUCGAUGGGGAUGCGUUCCAUUAGGUUGUUGGCGGGGUAACGGCCCACCAAGCCUUCGAUGGAUAGGGGUUCUGAGAGGAAGGUCCCCCACAUUGGAACUGAGACACGGUCCAAACUCCUACGGGAGGCAGCAUG